rnacentral:rRNA from 1 species
UGGGGAAUAUUGCGCAAUGGGCGAAAGCCUGACGCAGCGACGCCUCGUGAGGGAUGAAGGUCUUCGGAUCGUAAACCUCUGUCAAGAGGGAAGAAACCCUUGGGUUCGAAUAGGGCCCUUGGCUGACGGUACCUCAAAAGGAAGCACCGGCUAACUCCGUGCCAGCAGCCGCGGUAAUACGGAGGGUGCAAGCGUUAAUCGGAAUCACUGGGCGUAAAGCGCUCGUAGGCGGUUUGGUCAGUCAGAUGUGAAAGCCCUCGGCUCAACCGGGGAACUGCAUUUGAUACUGCCAGACUUGAGUAUCGGAGAGGGUGGCGGAAUUCCGGGUGUAGGAGUGAAAUCCGUAGAUAUCCGGAGGAACACCAGUGGCGAAGGCGGCCACCUGGACGAUAACUGACGCUGAGGAGCGAAAGCGUGGGGAGCAAACA